CAAAUAAAUUAUAAGCAAUCACCCCUUGGUUUAUUCUCCUUUUGUUCAUUCUUCUCAUCUCCAUUGAGACUACAUAUAUAACCACCCUUCUCUUUUCUCCUUCUUUCUCAGUCUGGCGAAUAACCUGCGGCAGAUUCUAUGAGUCAACACAACCAAGAUUGGAUGAUAUGACUGUGCACAAGCAGGGGCUUACCUCCAUCGACACCAGUGAUGGCUUAUCCUCCACCGGGUCAGGCUUAUCAGCACCACCAAACACCACCACCCGGAUAUCCCACCACCAUGCAAGGUGUCCAAGAUUCAUCACACAUCACAGCUGAGACCAAUAGCAAGGGUGAAGGUUUCUGGAAAGGAUGUGUUGCUGCGAUAUGCUGCUGCUGGGUCCUGGAAUUUUGCUGUGGAUGUUGAUUAUUAAGAGUUCAUUAAUGUUAUCAGUUUAUGUGAAAUAAUGAAUACCUUUUUUCCUUUCAUUUUACUACUUGUAUGGGAGUUAAUUAAGAUAUUAAAGAAAAAAAUAACUUUUUUUAAUUUUCUCCUAAAUUAUAAUCUGAUCAAUUUUCAUUUAUAAUCUGCCCUUGUAAAUGUCUACUCUUUGAGAGAGACAAGCUGAGUAGGGGAUUCUUUAUUAUAUAUGCAUCAAUAUCAAUAAGUAUAAUAAUAAAAGGUUAAGCUCGAAAUUUAUUUAGGCAA